UACGUAGGUGGCAAGCGUUGUCCGGAAUUAUUGGGCGUAAAGAGCGUGUAGGCGGCCCGAUUAGUCUGCUGUGAAAGUCCAGGGCUCAACCCUGGAAUGCCGGUGGAUACUGUCGGGCUAGAGUCCGGAAGGGGCGAGUGGAAUUCCUGGUGUAGCGGUGAAAUGCGCAGAUAUCAGGAGGAACACCAAUGGCGAAGGCAGCUCGCUGGGACGUGACUGACGCUGAGACGCGAAAGCGUGGGGAGCAAACAGG
rnacentral:rRNA from 1 species